rnacentral:misc_RNA from 1 species
UAUAUAUAGCUGCUGCAGCCUUGAGAACUUAGCUUGGUGUCGUGGUAGAUGAUAAGGACACCACGUUUAGCUAGGUGUCGUGGUAGAUGAUAAGGAUACGAUGUUUGUUUGGGGAAAAAAACAUGUCAUAUUGGGUUACUUGUUAGUUCACCUUCUUAUCAAUUUUCAACUUAGAAAAUUGACAAAUACGGUUCUGGUUGGCUAAAUAUUGUUAUUAUCAUAGCAUAUGUACG